rnacentral:lncRNA from 1 species
CGACGGUUCCCUUAGCCUUGUCAAAUAUAUCGUGACCAAAACCCGACCCCGGUUUCAGCUGUCUUAAACCAAUCUUAAACCGCCACGUCACCAACUUCCAUCACACGUAAGCCAUCUCCGUCACCGUGUAGACAACAUGGGCCCGAGCUGCCGUCUCUUCCCGAGACCAAACCAAAUUCCUCACCCAACAAAAAAAAAAAAAA